GCGGAAGGAUCAUUAUUGAAUAAGCUUGGUUGGGUUGUUGCUGGCUUCCUUUUUGUGGGCAUGUGCACGCCUGACACCAACUUUUCUUACCACCUGUGCACUUUAUGUAGACUUGGAAAUACCUUCUCGGUUUGAAGAUCGCUGUGCGCAAGUCCAGCUUUCUUUGCAAUUUCCAGUCUAUGUUUUUAUAUAUACACCUAUAGCAUGUUACAGAAUGUCAUUUUAAUAGGCUUAAUUGCCUUUAAAAACCUAUACAACUUUCAACAACGGAUCUCUUGGCUCUCGCAUCGAUGAAGAACGCAGCGAAAUGCGAUAAGUAAUGUGAAUUGCAGAAUUCAGUGAAUCAUCGAAUCUUUGAACGCACCUUGCGCUCCUUGGUAUUCCGAGGAGCAUGCCUGUUUGAGUGUCAUGAAAUUCUCAACCUUUAUCAUCUUGAUUAGGUUUGGAUGUGGGAGUCUGCGGGCUUUUUUUCUYGAGAAAGUCGGCUCUCCUUAAAUCUAUUAGCGGGACUUUUGUGGUUACCCCAGCUCCUAGUGUGAUAAUUUAUCUACGCUAUUGCUGAAGUGAUUUUUGUCCAGCUUAUAACCGUCUCUUCUUGAGACAACUUUAUAUGACAAAUUGACCUCAAA
rnacentral:rRNA from 1 species